rnacentral:rRNA from 1 species
UACGUAGGGACCAAGCGUUGUCCGGAAUCAUUGGGCGUAAAGCGCGUGUAGGCGGCCCGGUAAGUCCGCUGUGAAAGUCGGGGGCUCAACCCUCGGAUGCCGGUGGAUACUGGCGGGCUCGAGUACGGAAGAGGCGAGUGGAAUUCCUGGUGUAGCGGUGAAAUGCGCAGAUAUCAGGAGGAACACCGAUUGCGAAGGCAGCUCGCUGGGACGUUACUGACGCUGAGACGCGAAAGCGUGGGGAGCAAACAGG